rnacentral:rRNA from 1 species
CAGUAGCCGCGGGAAUACGUAGGUGGCAAGCGUUGUCCGGAAUUAUUGGGCGUAAAGGGCUCGCAGGCGGUUUCUUAAGUCUGAUGUGAAAGCCCCCGGCUCAACCGGGGAGGGUCAUUGGAAACUGGGAAACUUGAGUGCAGAAGAGGAGAGUGGAAUUCCACGUGUAGCGGUGAAAUGCGUAGAGAUGUGGAGGAACACCAGUGGCGAAGGCGACUCUCUGGUCUGUAACUGACGCUGAGGAGCGAAAGCGUGGGGAGCGAACAGGAUUAGAUACCCCUGUAGUCCGUCUCUUAUACAC